CGAUCUAUAUAAUACAUGUAAGUGUUUCCUGUGUAUAUGAUGUAAACUUGCAAAAUGUAAACCUUGGUAGUAUAUAAAGACCUACAGAAUUAUUUCGUACAGAUAACUCUCAAUUAGAUAUCUCAGUCACCAAAAACCAUCAAAAUGAACAAAUCCAUCAUCCUUGUCCUGGUCCCAUGCCUUGUUGCUUUCGUCAUGGCCCAGCAAUACGGAUACCAAUCCGGAUACCAGUCAGGAUACCCAGCUUACUACGGGAAUCAACUUAAUGCUUACACACAACAGACCAGAUUGUACAACUAUGGAAACUCUGCCACAGCUCAACUCCAAGGAGCCAAACUUCUUAACUACUUGUUCGGAUUCUUGCUUCUUUUGGACAUUACAAACGCCACAGGAAACUCAUUGACCAGCAGCUUGGGUUAAACUAUAAGAUGAUAAAUUCAUAUUCAGCUACAGAUUAGACGCUACUUGAGGAUAACUUCAGUUUCCUGCUCGACCAGUAUAACUAGAAAAUAUGGCGUUUCAUCGUUACAAAUUUAUGUUUACACAAGUCUUGAGAAGAAUAAUUUAUACUAAAUUAUAAGUGUGUUUUAACCGAUGUGUAGUAAUUCAUGUUAACAUCUUGUACACUUUAUUUUAAUAAAUACUUAAAUAAAAAAAAAAUAAUAAUUACUUUUUA